AGCGAACGCUGGCGGCGUACUUAACACAUGCAAGUCGAACGAGGAUCAUCGGGUUAGCAAUAAUUCGGUGGUCCUAGUGGCGCACGGGUGAGUAACACGUGGGUGACCUGCCCUUGAGCUCGGGAUACCCCCUCGAAAGGGGGGCUAAUACCGGAUACGUUCCUCGGUCGAAAGACUGAGGAGGAAAGGUGGCGCAAGCUGCCGCUCUUGGAGGGGCUCGCGGCCUAUCAGCUAGNGGCGGGGUAACGGCCCACCAAGGCUAUGACGGGUAGCUGGUCUGAGAGGACGACCAGCCACACGGGGACUGAGACACGGCCCCGACUCCUACGGGAGGCAGCAGUGGGGAAUUUUCCGCAAUGGGCGAAAGCCUGACGGAGUGACGCCGCGUGUGGGACGAAGGCCUCGGUCGUAACC
rnacentral:rRNA from 1 species